AGAGUUUGAUCAUGGCUCAGGACGAACGCUGGCGGCGUGCUUAACACAUGCAAGUCGAACGGAAAGGCCCUUCGGGGUACUCGAGUGGCGAACGGGUGAGUAACACGUGGGUGAUCUGCCCUGCACUUUGGGAUAAGCCUGGGAAACUGGGUCUAAUACCGAAUAUGACCAUGCGCCUCCUGGUGUGUGGUGGCAAGCUUUUGCGGUGUGGGAUGGGCCCGCGGCCUAUCAGCUUGUUGGUGGGGUAAUGGCCUACCAAGGCGACGACGGGUAGCCGGCCUGAGAGGGUGACCGGCCACACUGGGACUGAGAUACGGCCCAGACUCCUACGGGAGGCAGCAGUGGGGAAUAUUGCACAAUGGGCGCAAGCCUGAUACAGCGACGCCGCGUGAGGGAUGACGGCCUUCGGGUUGUAAACCUCUUUCAGCACAGACGAAGCGCAAGUGACGGUAUGUGCAGAAGAAGGACCGGCCAACUACGUGCCAGCAGCCGCGGUAAUACGUAGGGUCCGAGCGUUGUCCGGAAUUACUGGGCGUAAAGAGCUCGUAGGUGGUUUGUCGCGUUGUUCGUGAAAACUCACAGCUUAACUGUGGGCGUGCGGGCGAUACGGGCAGACUUGAGUACUGCAGGGGAGACUGGAAUUCCUGGUGUAGCGGUGGAAUGCGCAGAUAUCAGGAGGAACACCGGUGGCGAAGGCGGGUCUCUGGGCAGUAACUGACGCUGAGGAGCGAAAGCGUGGGGAGCGAACAGGAUUAGAUACCCCGGUAGUCC
rnacentral:rRNA from 1 species